UCAGGAUUCAGGCCCACAGGAACAGCUGAAGACCAGUAGACAGGAAAGACUACACACCCGAAAGCAGAACACUCUGUUCCCAUAACUGGCUGAAAGAAAACAGGAAAACAGGUCUACAGCACUCCUGACACGCAGGCCUAUAGGACAGUCUAGCUACUGUUUGAACUAGCAGAAUGAGGUAACACCAGAGACAACCUGAUGGCAAGAGGCAAGCACAGGAACCCAAGCAACAGAAACCAAGACUACGUGGCAUCAUCGGAGCCCAAUUCUCCCACCAAAGCAAACAGUGAAUAUCCAAACACACCAGAAAAGCAAGAUCUAGAUUUAAAAUCAGAUUUGAUCAUGAUGAUGGAAGACUUCAAGAAGGACAUGAAAAACUCCCUUAGAGAAACAGAGGAAAACAUAAAUAAACAAGUAGAAGCCUAUAGAGAGGAAUCACAAAAAUCCCUGAAAGAAUUCCAGGGAAACACAAACAGUUGAAGGAAAUAAAAAUGGAAAUAGAAGCAAUAAAGAAA
rnacentral:lncRNA from 1 species